UAUUCCUAAUUGAACCUAUUUAUAUAACAUAAUUUCUACACUUUUAAUAAAUAUUAUAAGAUGGGCUACGAGAAUAACGUAACGAUUGUAUCUGUUAAAAAAAAAAAUAACAUAAUAAUCAUAAGUAAGAAGAAAAAGAAAAAAAAAGAUGAAAGGACUAAAGGUUUUCUUUGAUUUAAAGAGAGAGAGAGAGAGAGAGAGAGAGAGAGAUGAUGCAUGAGUGUGUUUUUCACAAUUGACACUGUACGUAAGAUGCAACGAGUUUUGCUCGUGCGCCGUAUCGAAAGGACCUGCGCACGUGGUACCGAGCAAGCCGUAAAGAGGAAAAUCAAUAAUUUCCAGGGUAUAAAAGAUCCUGCUUCACGUAACGCGAGUUACCCUCUCUUUUGUUCCAGUGAACGUUGUGCGGUGUAUUCGAAAGAAGAGAGCUCGUCGCGUCCCGAUCUUUAUAAAAAAAAGAAAAAAAAGUCCACAUCUCGAUUCUUCGAUUCUGAUUGGUUCGUGUCAUUUAAUUUAUAAAAGAACAAAAUAAGAAAAAAAGCUCUCAAAUUUUUUCCCUUAUUAUCAUCGUUGUGGAGGUAAACACACUCAUUUACGUCUACAGUAAGAUUCUAGUAUAAGUAAUAAUUAUUAAUAAUAAUUAUAAUAAUAAUGUAACACAUCGAGAAGAAAACGAAAGAAAAAUGAAGACGCAUGGUUGAUGAUCAACUUGCGUCGUCUAAACGAUCAAAUCCCGAUUAUUACUGCGAUCGAUCUCGACGUGAAUAUUUCGAAUUCAUCUAAUAUCAUAGUGUUUAUUUUUUUAACCAAAAGGAAGAACGUAGAUUUUAGAUCAUAUGACAAGCUCGUUUUCGUCUCUUAUCGAUUAAACAUUAGCAUGCAAACGUACUCGUAUCGCGUCGAUAUCGUUCGCAUGUUAAAACAAAAAAAAAAAAGGAAUUUAAU